ACGUAGGUGGCGAGCGUUAUCCGGAAUUACUGGGCGUAAAGGGCACGCAGGCGGUUGAACAAGUUUGGCGUGAAAGCUCCCGGCUUAACUGGGAGAGGUCGUUGAAAACUGUUCAGCUUGAGGCAAUGAGAGGGGUACGGAAUUCCAGGUGUAGUGGUGGAAUGCGUAGAUAUCUGGAGGAACACCAGUGGCGAAAGCGGUACCCUGGCAUUGACCUGACGCUCAUGUGCGAAAGCGUGGGGAGCGAACGGG
rnacentral:rRNA from 1 species